ACGGAGGGUGCGAGCGUUAUUCGGAAUUACUGGGCGUAAAGCGCAUGUAGGUGGUCCAUCAAGUCAGCUGUGAAAGCCUGGGGCUCAACGUCGGAACUGCAGUUGAAACUAUAGGGCUAGAGUACGGUAGAGGAGAGUGGAACUUCAGGUGGAGCGGUGAAAUGCGUAGAUAUCAGAAGGAACGUCGGCGGCGAAGGCGGCCCUCUAGACCGAAACCGACACUCAUACGCGAAAGCGUGGGGAGCAAACAG
rnacentral:rRNA from 1 species